rnacentral:rRNA from 1 species
CACGUAGGGUGCGAGCGUUGUCCGGAAUUAUUGGGCGUAAAGAGCUCGUAGGCGGUGUGUCGCGUCGGCCGUGAAAACCUGCAGCUUAACUGUGGGCUUGCGGUCGAUACGGGCAUCACUGGAGUUCGGCAGGGGAGACUGGAAUUCCUGGUGUAGCGGUGAAAUGCGCAGAUAUCAGGAGGAACACCGGUGGCGAAGGCGGGUCUCUGGGCCGGAACUGACGCUAAGGAGCGAAAGCGUGGGGAGCGAACGAGG